rnacentral:rRNA from 1 species
GAUAGAAAUUCCCUUCGGGGCUUUCUGCAAGGUGCUGCAUGGUUGUCGUCAGCUCGUGCCGUGAGGUGUCGGGUUAAGUCCCAUAACGAGCGCAACCCUUAUCGUUAGUUGCCAGCGGGUCAAGCCGGGGACUCUAGCGAGACUGCCACCGUAAGGUGUGAGGAAGGUGGGAUGACGUCAAAUCAGCACGGCCCUUAUGUCCAGGGCUACACACGUGUUACAAUGGCCGAUACAAAGGGCAGCUACCAGGUGACUGGAUGCUAAUCUCCAAAGUCGGUCUCAGUUCGGAUCGAAGUCUGCAACCCGACUUCGUGAAGCUGGAUUCGCUAGUAAUCGCAUAUCAGCCAUGAUGCGGUCGAAUACGUUCCCGGGCCUU